CGCGUAGGUGGUAGUGUAAGUCUGGGGUGGAAUGCCGGGGCUUAACCCUGGAAUUGCCUUGGAAACUGCAUUACUUGAGUCAGUGAGGGGAGGGUAGAAUUCCUGGUGUAGCGGUGAAAUGCGUAGAUAUCAGGAGGAAGGCCUGUGGCGAAGGCGGCCCUCUGGUGCUGGACUGACACUGAGGCGCGAAAGCGUGGGGAGCAAACAGGAUUAGAUACCCUGGUAGUCCACGCCCUAAACGGUGGGCACUAGGUGUAGGGCUCGUAAGGGUUCUGUGCCGAAGGGAAACCAUUAAGUGCCCCGCCUGGGGGAGUACGGCCGCAAGGUUGAA
rnacentral:rRNA from 1 species